GAUGAACGCUGGCGGCGUGCCUAAUACAUGCAAGUCGAGCGAACAGACGAGGAGCUUGCUCCUCUGACGUUAGCGGCGGACGGGUGAGUAACACGUGGAUAACCUACCUAUAAGACUGGGAUAACUUCGGGAAACCGGAGCUAAUACCGGAUAAUAUAUUGAACCGCAUGGUUCAAUAGUGAAAGACGGUUUUGCUGUCACUUAUAGAUGGAUCCGCGCCGCAUUAGCUAGUUGGUAAGGUAACGGCUUACCAAGGCAACGAUGCGUAGCCGACCUGAGAGAGUGAUCGGCCACACUGGAACUGAGACACGGUCCAGACUCCUACGGGAGGCAGCAGUAGGGAAUCUUACGCAAUGGGCGAAAGCCUGACGGAGCAACGCCGCGUGAGUGAUGAAGGUCUUCGGAUCGUAAAACUCUGUUAUUAGGGAAGAACAAAUGUGUAAGUAACUAUGCACGUCUUGACGGUACCUAAUCAGAAAGCAACGGCUAACUACGUG
rnacentral:rRNA from 1 species